rnacentral:rRNA from 1 species
CCUACGGGGGGCAGCAGUGAGGAAUAUUGGUCAAUGGUCGGGAGACUGAACCAGCCAAGCCGCGUGAGGGAUGAAGGUACAGAGUAUCGUAAACCUCUUUUGUCAGGGAACAAAGGCGGGGACAUGUCCCCGGAUGAGUGUACCUGAAGAAAAAGCAUCGACUAACUCCGUGCCAGCCGCCGCGGUAAUACGGAGGAUGCGAGCGUUUUCCGGAUUUAUGGGUGUUAAAGGGUGCGGAGGCGGUCUGUUAAGUCAGCGGUCAAAGCCCGGGGCUCACCCCCGGCCCGCCGUUGAAACUGGCAGUCUCGAGUUGGAGAGAAGUAUGCGGAAUGCGCGGUGUAGCGGUGAAAUGCAUAGAUAUCGCGCAGAACUCCGAUUGCGAAGGCAGCAUGCCGGCUCCACACUGACGCUGAGGCACGAAAGCGUGGGUAUCGAACAGGAUUAGAUACCCCUGUAGUC